rnacentral:rRNA from 1 species
ACUGCUCAGUAACACGUGGUUAACCUGCCCUUGGGACGGAAACACCCCCGGGAAACUGGGGCUAAUUUCCGAUAGGUGAAGGCUCCUGGAAUGGAUCUUUGCCCAAAGGACGUUCAGACCAUGCUUCUAGGCGCUGCCCAAGGAUGGGGCCGCGGCCGAUCAGGUUGUUGGUGAGGUAAUGGCUCACCAAGCCUUUAACCGGUUCGGGCCGUGGGAGCGGGAGCCCGGAGAUGGGCACUGAGACAAGGGCCCAGGCCCUACGGGGCGCAGCAGUCGCGAAAACUCCGCAAUACGCGAAGGCGUGACGGGGCUAUCCCGAGUGCCGUCCGCUGAGGAUGGCUUUUCCCCAGUGUAGAUAGCUGGGGGAAUAAGGAGAGGGCAAGUCUGGUGUCAGCCGCCGCGGUAAUACCAGCUCUCCGAGUGGUGGGGACGUUUAUUGGGCCUGAAGCAUCCGUAGCCAGCUGAGCAAGUCCCCAGUUAAAUCCAGCGAUUUAAUCGUUGGACUGCUGGGGAUACUGUCCGGCUAGGGGGUGGGAGAGGCCGACGGUAUUCCCGGGGUAGGGGUGAAAUCCUAUAAUCCCGGGAGGACCACCAGUGGCGAAGGCUGUUGGCUAGAACAUGCCCGACGGUGAGGGAUGAAAGCUGGGGGAGCGAACCGGAUUAGAUACCCGGGUAGUCCCAGCUGUAAACGAUGCAGGCUAGGUGUUAGGGCGGCCACGUGCCGCUCUAGUGCCGCAGGGAAGCUGUUAAGCCUGCCGCCUGGGGAGUACGGCCGCAAGGCUGAAACUUAAAGGAAUUGGCGGGGGAGCAC